CAAUAGCGUAUAUUAAAGUUGUUGCAGUUAAAAAGCUCGUAGUUGGAUUUUUUGUGGUCUGCGCUUUCCCUUCCUUGACGGAAGCCGUGAAGGCCGGGCCGCAUCUGUUUUUUGUGUGGUUGCGGGGCUGCCAUUAGGUUGGUGGCCCCGUUUUGGCCGCGCAUCGUUUACUGUGAAAAAAUUAGAGUGUUUAAAGCAGGCGAGUUUCGCACAUUGAAUACAUUAGCAUGGAAUAAUAAGAUACGACUCUGGUGGUCUAUUUUGUUGGUUUGCACACCAGGGUAAUGAUUAAUAGGGACAGUUGGGGGUAUUCAUAUUUCAGCGUCAGAGGUGAAAUUCUUGGAUCGCUGAAAGAUGCGCUUCGGCGAAAGCAUUUACCAAGGAUGUUUUCAUUAA
rnacentral:rRNA from 1 species